UAACGCCUGAAGUCGCUUGGCUAACCGUAAGGAGGCCGGUGCCGAGGGUGGGACUGGUGACUGGGACUAAGUCGUAACAAGGUAGCUGUAGCGGAAGCUGCGGCUGGAUCACCUCCUUUCAAGGGAGCA
rnacentral:rRNA from 1 species